rnacentral:rRNA from 1 species
CGAGCACGCGCGUGUGGCAUAUCAAUAAGCGGAGGAAAAGAAACUAACAAGGAUUCCCUUAGUAACGGCGAGUGAAGCGGGAAGAGCUCAAAUUUGAAAUCUUCAAGGUUCUACCUUGACGAAUUGUAGUUUAUAGAAGUGUUUUCUGUUAGUGGAGUGGCAAAAGUUCUUUGGAAUAGGACAUCAUAGAGGGUGAGAAUCCCGUAUUUGGUCAUUCCUCCUAGCGUUGUGAUACACUUUCAACGAGUCGGAUUGUUUGGGAAUGCAGUCCAAAAUGGGUGGUAAAUUUCAUCUAAAGCUAAAUAUUGGCGAGAGACCGAUAGCGAACAAGUACCGUGAGGGAAAGAUGAAAAGAACUUUGAAAAGAGAGUUAAACAGUACGUGAAAUUGUCAAAAGGGAAGCGUUUGACACCAGUGUUGUUUUUCCGAAAAUCAAUUACGAAUGUUUUAGCUUUUUGAGGAGUUAUGACUUCAUCGGCUUGCUUCUCUCUUUAUGAAACUUUCUUAAUGCACUUUUCGGUUAACAAGUCAACAUCAAUUUCUUUUGUUGUAAAAGGGUAUGAGGAAGGUGGCUUUCUUUUCGGAGAAAGUGUUUAUAGCCUUGUGCCUCUGCAAUCGGAGAGAUUGAGGUCUGCAGCGUAGAUCCUUCGGGGUUAGAUACGUUUGUGCUAAGUUAUAGCUUUUCAUAGACAACUUGUUGACUAUGUUUAGUCUUGUAGCUUACUCGCUGACGCUAUUUUACCUACGCUUAGGAUGUUGAACUCUAUCACACACAG